GCUUGUCUCUGCAGGUGAAGGACUGGGGCGUGGUUUGUAGAAGAGCUCCCUGCAGCUGCUGGGACUGUUUGGGUGGGGUUUGAAAAGUGUCUCCUUUGAAGACUACGUGCUGCAGAUUAUCUGCCAAGAGGUCUUGAUUAAAAUCAAGCUGCCAGGCUGGAAGUGACGAGUUGCAAACUCCAAAAGAGGACUCCGAGCAGCAGCUCAUAAUAAUCAUAUCAGCCAACGAAGCACAGAUAGGUCUCAAAUUGACUCAGAACAAACCGUGACUCUGACAGAGCUUUUGUGAUAUUCAUCAGGCCCUCCUGCAUAAAACCCUUCCUUUAUAAACUCACAGUUGAACUUACUUUUAGGAGGACUGAAAAUGUACCUCUCAAGUAAAGAACCAUUGUCUUA